rnacentral:rRNA from 1 species
AUUGAACGCUGGCGGCAGGCUUAACACAUGCAAGUCGAGCGGGGACUUCGGUCCUAGCGGCGAACGGGUGAGGAAUGCUUGGGAAUCUGCCCAGUAGCGGGGGAUAACGUUUCGAAAGGAACGCUAAUACCGCAUACGCCCUACGGGGGAAAGGGGGGGAUCUUCGGACCUCUCACUAUUGGAUGAGCCCAAGUCGGAUUAGCUAGUUGGUGGGGUAAAGGCCUACCAAGGCGACGAUCCGUAGCUGGUCUGAGAGGAUGAUCAGCCACACUGGAACUGAGACACGGUUCAGACUCCUACGGGAGGCAGCAGUGGGGAAUAUUGGACAAUGGGCGAAAGCCUGAUCCAGCCAUGCCGCGUGUGUGAAGAAGGCCUUCGGGUUGUAAAGCACUUUAAGCGAGGAGGAAUGGCUCUUGGUUAAUAACCUUGAGCAGUGACGUUACUCGCAGAAUAAGCACCGGCUAACUCUGUGCCAGCAGCCGCCGUAAAAC